AGAAUCAACGCUGGCGGCGUGCCUAACACAUGCAAGUCGCACGAGAAAGGGUAGCAAUACCUGAGUACAGUGGCGCACGGGUGAGUAACACGUGAAUAAUCUACCUCCGAGUGGGGAAUAACUGAGAGAAAUCUUAGCUAAUACCGCAUAAUACCCACGGGUCAAAGCAGCAAUGCGCUUGGAGAGGAGUUCGCGGCAGAUUAGUUAGUUGGCGGGGUAAUGGCCCACCAAGACGAUGAUCUGUAUCCGGCCUGAGAGGGCGCACGGACACACUGGAACUGAAACACGGUCCAGACUCCUACGGGAGGCAGCAGUGGGGAAUUUUGCGCAAUGGGGGAAACCCUGACGCAGCAACGCCGCGUGGAGGAUGAAGCCCCUUGGGGUGUAAACUCCUUUCGAUCGGGAAGAUAAUGACGGUACCGAUAUAAGAAGCCCGGCUAACGUUCGUGCCAGCAGCCGC
rnacentral:rRNA from 1 species